rnacentral:rRNA from 1 species
UACGGGAGGCAGCAGUGGGGAAUAUUGCACAAUGGGCGCAAGCCUGAUGCAGCCAUGCCGCGUGUAUGAAAAAGGCCUUCGGGUUGUAAAGUACUUUCAGUCGUGAGGAAGGUGUUAAGGUUAAUAACCUUAGCAAUUGACGUUAGCGACAGAAGAAGCACCGGCUAACUCCGUGCCAGCAGCCGCGGUAAUACGGAGGGUGCGAGCGUUAAUCGGAAUUACUGGGCGUAAAGGGCACGCAGGCGGUUAAUUAAGUUGGAUGUGAAAUCCCCGGGCUUAACCUGGGAAUGGCAUUCAAGACUGGUUAGCUAGAGUCUUGUAGAGGGGGUAGAAUUCCGAUGUGUAGCGGUGAAAUGCGUAGAGAUGUGGAGGAAUACCGGUGGCGAAGGCGGCCCCUGGACAAAGGCUGACGCUCAUGUGCGAAAGCGUGGGGAGCAAACG